rnacentral:rRNA from 1 species
ACGCUCGACACCUAGGCAGCAGUGGGGAAUAUUGCACAAUGGGGGAAACCCUGAUGCAGCGACGCCGCGUGAAGGAAGAAGUAUCUCGGUAUGUAAACUUCUAUCAGCAGGGAAGAAAAUGACGGUACCUGACUAAGAAGCCCCGGCUAACUACGUGCCCGCAGCCCGGUAAUCUGAGCGGGCUGGCAAGGC